UUUCCGAUUGAAAUUCCUCCUUUAAACUUUGUUCAUCCCUAUUUGCUCUUAAUUUCAGGAGAAUCUUCUCCAAAAGUUUCCACUCCGUUUCCCUCCUUCAGCUUCGUGGUCGUUUCUCUGGUUAACCAUCAGUGAGGCGACCUUGACCGUCCAGACUCCAUCAGAGUCAAAGAGCCCCGCCCACCCAUAACCACACUGAGGGAGGCUCACAGUGACACCAGUGUGGGUGCAGCGUCCUGCAACACGGAAUCAAACCUGGGACUUUCAGACCAGAGGCUGACCGCUCUACUUCUGCACCACAACAAUAAAAACGUCCUAAAUUCAGACAUUUUUUAAUUAAUUAAGAGUUAAAAGUCACACAAGUUUGUGAGUAGCUUCAUGCUAACGACCAAAACUCAAAGUUCAGAGUUUGUUGUUUGGAACGUAGGGUAGAACUAUGUCGCCAAAGAAUGUAAACGAACACACAAAAAAAAUUAAAUAGAAUAAGAGCAUUAAAAACAAAGAAGGAAACAAAGAAAAAAAAUCAGAAAUAAGUGGACAGUAAUGUGGUGACCAGCAGAGACCGACGACGGUUUACAGGACGCUGUGAUGCUAACACGUCUGCUCACAGGUCAUUACAACAGAGAACAGGAGUUAAGAAUAAAGUUAUGAGGAGAAAGUAAAAAUAAAACCUAACAAA